rnacentral:rRNA from 1 species
GACGGAGGAUGCAAGCGUUAUCCGGAAUUAUUGGGCGUAAAGCGUCCGCAGGUGGCAUUUCAAGUCUGCUGUCAAAGACCGGGGCUUAACCCCAGAAAGGCAGUGGAAACUGAAAAGCUAGAGAUAGGUAGGGGCAGAGGGAAUUCCCAGUGUAGCGGUGAAAUGCGUAGAGAUUGGGAAGAACACCGGUGGCGAAAGCGCUCUGCUGGGCCUUAUCUGACACUCAGGGACGAAAGCUAGGGGAGCGAAUGGGAUUAGAAACCCGGUAGUCC